rnacentral:piRNA from 1 species
UAAGCUUGGUGUCCGACCCACGG